rnacentral:rRNA from 1 species
GACGUAGGGAGCAAGCGUUGUCCGGAAUUACUGGGCGUAAAGAGCUCGUAGGCGGGACCGUAAGUCUAAGACGAAAUCUCAAGGCUCAACUUUGGGGCUUUCUUGGAUACUGCGGUUCUUGAGGAUAUCAGGGGACAGUAGAAUUCUCGGUGUAGCGGUGAAAUGCGUAGAUAUCGGGAGGAAUACCAGUGGCGAAGGCGACUGUCUGGGAUGUUCCUGACGCUGAGGAGCGAAAGCGUGGGUAGCAAACGGG